rnacentral:ncRNA from 1 species
AAGGCCUGAUGUGUGUGAGAUUACCCGCUGAAUUUAAGCAUAUAAGUAAGCGGAGGAAAAGAAACUAACUAGGAUUCCCUUAGUAAUGGCGAAUGAACAGGGAUCAGCUCAGUGCCAAAUCGGAAUCACUUGUGGUUCUGAAAUGUGGCUUGAAGGCAGUACCAGUGGCAUCGCGGACGAAAGUCUCUUGGAAAAGAGCGUCAUAGAGGGUGAGAAUCCCGUGAGUCGUUCGCCGUUUGUCACGUACGGUCUGCGUUCUAACGAGUCGCGUUCCUUGGGAUUGGAGCGUAAACGGGUGGUAAAUUUCAUCCAAAGCAAAAUAUAUACUCGAGACCGAUAGCACAAAAGUACCGUGAGGGAAAGGUGAAAAGAACUUUGAGAAGAGGGUUAAAUAGUGCCUGAAAUCGUUGAGAAGGAAGCGGAUGCCGCCGUUGCAUAUGCUGAUUGUAGGAUUGCUGCUCGCUCCUGUCUUCUGCUACUCAUUCACAGACCUGGUCGUGUUGAGCAGUUGUUUGGCAGAUGUUAGUGGUGUUUCCUACUUUCAGUCGUCAGCAUCACUGGCUGAGUGGAAAUAAUCCUUGGAUGCUAAUUGGUUCGCUAUCUGUGAAUUGGUUGCUUCCUUGCGAUACUCACUACUCGGUCAGUGAGGAAGUGCGUUUGCUGGUCAACGAGCUUUCUAACUGUCAUUACCCUGCGCUUUUCGAUUCGUCGAGUGGCCAGGAUGUGGCUUUGAGAUUGUUCGCACUUAGUAAUCGCGAUGCUGGCUUCCAACGGUUGCCUCCGGCCCGUCUUGAAACACGGACCAAGGAGUCUAACGUAUGUGCGAGUGUGUGAGUGGCAAACUUAUACGCGUAAUGAAAGUGAGGCCGUAUGGCCAUGUGGGGUCACCAACAACCGACCUU